CCCCGCGCGCUGAGCUGCUCCGCCCCCGCUUCAACCUGGAGCCGGUGGCAGCCGCGUCUUCCUCGGCCCUUCCCAGCCUGCGCCCCCUCACAUCGCAGCCACAGGCUCCUGAGUCCUUAAAGGCGCAGCAGCCCCGGCCCGCGCCCGGCCUUUGCAAACACACAGGAGCAUCGCCAGCCCUGCGAGGAGCCGCAGCCUCCCAACCUGCGCUUGGGGCGACAGGACGGGGGACGAGGUUGCUUCGAAGGGGCCCAGAAGUGUGUAGCGAUGGGCUGCAGUGGUGUCGUUCGUGCAGAUCGGGAACAGAGAAGAUGUCUCUCCUUACACGUGUGUGUAGCAGACAUGCAAAUACGGUGAGGUCACCGCAUUCAUCGCUUUCUUCAUGCAGCCCCCUCGGCCUGGAACAGCUUCCCCUCGCCACGUUCCCACGGCAGCUCUGCAAAAACAACUGUUGGACUCUAUUCUAGAAGCCACCCGACUGUAGUGACAUUGUGCCUCUCUGGGCCAGCGCUCCUGUUCCUUGGGGUGGAAUCAUUGACCCCACCCCUCUCCCUGGCUGGGCCAGUCUAUGUCAAAAAAUGGUGGCAAUUUAUGAGAAUUUUAAAAACAUUUCCCAUACAAAAACUGUGGUUGAAAUAUCCAACACUGGAAACAUUUCAACCAGCUCUGUAUAAACUGGUUUUAAAAACCCAGCAAAAAUUAUUUAAAAAAAGAUUGAAAUGUUGACCAGCAUUGGUCAGAAUGGAGUACCUACCAUGGCAGGAUCAGAAAGCAUGGAGCCUGCUUACAGACUCCUUUGUCCUUUGCAAGCCACAGAGCCAGCUUUGCAGGGGCACAGGGGAGUUUAUGAUGCAGGCCAAGGGCGUAUAGAGGUCAGAGCCAGUAGGAUCACAAUUUGGACAAGGCACGAAAGAGGGAAGUGUACAAGAGUUUACUAUACUUUUUCUCUUCUUCCACCAGCGCAUGACAGAGGGAGGAAUCAAGGCUCAACUAUUCUCUCCUCCAACCUCAAAAUCCUGAACGUCUCCUUAUCCUUUAUGGUGUCAAACUCAUUGGAAGAAGAGGGCUGAAUUCUUCAUUUAAUUAUGGUUCAUGGCCCAUGGUAUAAAUUCAGGACUAUAUACUCUAAAUAAGACAUUGAUGUCAACUGGUAGUUUGCAUAGAUAUCAUGGGAAGGAUAUAGUCUUUAUGCAGUAACUAAAUGUUUUGUUGUUAUUUGUUCUGUACCUUAUUGUGACAUUCAUCUUCAGUAUGCAUCCUUUUUGUUUUAAAUAUGUUCCAGUUUAA